UUGCGCCCGAAGCCAUUAGGCCGAGGGCACGUCUGCUUGGGCGUCACGCAUCGCGUCGCCCCCCUCGCAUCGCACCUCAAUCACGGAAUCAAGAGCUCCAAGUGGGCCAUUUUUGGUAAGCAGAACUGGCGAUGCGGGAUGAAUCGGAAGUCGGGUUAUGGUGCCAAACUGCGCGCUAACCUAGAUCCCACAAAGGGUGUUGGUCGAUUAAGACAGCAGGACGGUGGUCAUGGAAGUCGAAAUCCGCUAAGGAGUGUGUAACAACUCACCUGCCGAAUCAAAUAGCCCCGAAAGUGGAUGGCGCUUAAGCGCGCGACCUACACCCGACCGUCGGGGAAAGUACCAGGCCCCGAUGAGUAGGAGGGCACGGCAGGCGCUGCAAAACCUUGGGCGCGAGCCCGGGCGGAGCGGACGUCAGUG
rnacentral:ncRNA from 1 species